AAUAGCCAUAAGCUUAAUUUCCGAUUUGCAUAAUCGGAAAGCGGGGGAACCACUUUUUCCGGGGCGAAUCGGCAGCAUAUCUGCCGUAGGGAACCAUCUUUCCCGAGUCCGUCAGCUAACCUCGUCAGCCUCAAGAUGGGUCAA
rnacentral:sRNA from 2 species